AUGGCUCAGGAUGAACGCUAGCUACAGGCUAACACAUGCAAGUCGAGGGGCAGCAUGGGAUAGCUUGCUAAUCCUGAUGGCGACCGGCGCACGGGUGAGUAACGCGUAUCCAACCUUCCCCUUACUCAGGGAUAGCCCGGUGAAAACCGGAUUAACACCUGAUAGUUUCACUAGAUGGCAUCUGACGGUGAAUAAAGCUUUGCGGUAAGGGAUGGGGAUGCGUCUGAUUAGCUUGUUGGCGGGGUAACGGCCCACCAAGGCAACGAUCAGUAGGGGUUCUGAGAGGAAGGUCCCCCACAUUGGAACUGAGACACGGUCCAAACUCCUACGGGAGGCAGCAGUGAGGAAUAUUGGUCAAUGGGCGAGAGCCUGAACCAGCCAAGUAAGCGUGCAGGAUGACGGCCCUAUGGGUUGUAAACUGCUUUUGUACGGGAAUAAAGUGACCUACGCGUAGGUUUUUGCAUGUACCGUAAGAAUAAGGACCGGCUAAUUCCGUGCCAGCAGCGGC
rnacentral:rRNA from 1 species